GAUGAACGCUGGCGGCGUGCCUAAUACAUGCAAGUCGAGCGAACAGAUGAGGAGCUUGCUCCUCUGACGUUAGCGGCGGACGGGUGAGUAACACGUGGAUAACCUACCUAUAAGACUGGGAUAACUUCGGGAAACCGGAGCUAAUACCGGAUAAUAUAUUGAACCGCAUGGUUCAAUAGUGAAAGACGGUUUUGCUGUCACUUAUAGAUGGAUCCGCGCCGCAUUAGCUAGUUGGUAAGGUAACGGCUUACCAAGGCAACGAUGCGUAGCCGACCUGAGAGGGUGAUCGGCUACACUGGAACUGAGACACGGUCCAGACUCCUACGGGAGGCAGCAGUAGGGAAUCUUCCGCAAUGGGCGAAAGCCUGACGGAGCAACGCCGCGUGAGUGAUGAAGGUCUUCGGAUCGUAAAACUCUGUUAUUGGGGAAGAACAAAUGUGUAAGUAACUAUGCACGUCUUGACGGUACCUAAUCAGAAAGCCACGGCUAACUACGUG
rnacentral:rRNA from 1 species